rnacentral:lncRNA from 10 species
CCUGGCAUGACUGCUUCUAACAGCGACCAUUUCAUUAAGUUUUUAAGUGCCUGGUAAUUGCUUGGUUAUGACCGGUGUCUGCUCCAUGGCAGCCUCUUCCUGAAGAAAUGCUGAGGCAGUGUCACGCUGGUGUCUGUCCUCCUUACAGAAUGCCUGAACAGUUCCAUUGACUCAAAGUGAAGAUCAAAAGAACCAAAUGACAGCAAUAGCCAAGUGUAAUCAUCAGUAACCCUGUGUUCUAUCCACAGGUCAUCUUUGUAUGAGAGCUGAAACAAGAAGACGAAGGGUCACCUUUUUUGACCUUAGCUUGGGACGUGUGCAAAGAGUGACAGAGUUUUCACUACUGUGUGUCUAUCCAGGAGCCACCUUGAAAGCUCCACAAGUAUUAAUUUGGGGAUUACAAAGACACUUUUAGCAAGU